GAUGAACGCUGGCGGCGUGCCUAAUACAUGCAAGUCGAGCGAACGGACGAGAAGCUUGCUUUUCUGAUGUUAGCGGCGGACGGGUGAGUAACACGUGGAUAACCUACCUAUAAGACUGGGAUAACUUCGGGAAACCGGAGCUAAUACCGGAUAAUAUUUUGAACCGCAUGGUUCAAAAGUGAAAGACGGUCUUGCUGUCACUUAUAGAUGGAUCCGCGCUGCAUUAGCUAGUUGGUAAGGUAACGGCUUACCAAGGCAACGAUGCAUAGCCGACCUGAGAGGGUGAUCGGCCAGACUGGAACUGAGACGCGGUCCAGACUCCUACGGGAGGCAGCAGUAGGGAAUCUUCCGCAAUGGGCGAAAGCCUGACGGAGCAACGCCGCGUGGGUGAUGAAGGUCUUCGGAUCGUAAAACUCUGUUAUUAGGGAAGAACAUAUGUGUAAGUAACUGUGCACAUCUUGACGGUACCUAAUCAGAAAGCCACGGCUAACUACGUG
rnacentral:rRNA from 1 species